rnacentral:rRNA from 1 species
UACGUAGGGUGCGAGCGUUUGUCCGGAUUUAUUGGGCGUAAAGAGCUCGUAGGCGGUUUGUCGCGUCGGCCGUGAAAUCUCCACGCUUAACGUGGAGCGUGCGGUCGAUACGGGCAGACUUGAGUUCGGUAGGGGAGACUGGAAUUCCUGGUGUAGCGGUGAAAUGCGCAGAUAUCAGGAGGAACACCAAUGGCGAAGGCAGCUCGCUGGAACGGUACUGACGCUGGAGGCGCGAAAGCGUGGGGAGCGAACAGG